CAAAGUAAGAAUGGCUCACAAAUAAUUCAUUUUUGUCAUGUUUCCUAAAUACGGAAACUUAGAACCUUCCCCAAGUACGUCACUGAUCCUUCUACAUGGUACAGAACAUGUACACAAAUAUGUAAGAUGUGCAAUCAUAGAACAAGAGAUACAUAAGUAUCUUAGGUGAGUAAAGAAGUACAAACUCAGAAGGCACAACUCACAGAUCAGUUAAAUUAGUCAAGACA
rnacentral:misc_RNA from 1 species